UUGUUGAAUUGACCAAAAGGGUCCCGGAACUGUCGAGAGGGGUGGGUGGAAGGAGGGCAGGGGCUAGGGAGGCGAUUUUGACCGCCUCGUCGCCGGCGGGAGUUUUGCUCCGUGUUUCUGGCUAGCUGUUGUUCGUGGGGUGGGGCUUCUGAUGUUUUGCUUGCUGGGCGGAGCAGGGGAGGGGGACGGGAGGUGGUUUUGGAUCUGAUUUCGCCGACGGCGAGCUUUGCCUACCGGCGCGGUGAGUCUUUGUCCGGCGAAGGCGUUCAGGCGAAGGCAGUGGGGGGUAGCGGUGCGUGUUUGUGCUUGUCGGCGUCAGAGUCCCCCCCGCCCCACACUCUAUUAUGUCGUUGUUUGCUCGAGAUUUUGCUACUGACCCGCUGAUUUUUGUCGUGGAUAUGCCAUCUCUGUCCUCUUCGGGAUCUGCCUGUGCUUGUUGCGGUGAGUGAUUCAUCUGUUCCCUAGGGAGAAAUCGGUGUAUUUGGUUGCUGUGAUGCCGGUUGCACUCUGCUCUAGGUUGUUUUUACUUUCAGAUUUUGGAAUUAGAGUUGGUGAAAGUCUGCAUGUAUUUAUGUUGUCAGAUAGUGGUCAGAUUAAGGAGCCAGAUUAUGCCUUAUGUCUUGUGCUAUGUGAUGUGGACCUAAUUUCCAGUGUAACUUCCCCCAUGCCUUCAUGGGAGAUACCGAGAUAGUGUUAUUGGUUCUGAUGAGGAGGAUUUAAGCUCGGAUUCUGACCUUGACGACUCGGAUAUUGGCAAUGAACCAUCUCGGCCGCCACUUAAAGUUGUUGAUUUAGAUGAUGACAAUAACCAAGAUAAGCCUAAUGUAGAAAAGUAAUAGCACUGAUAAUUGCUUUUCAGUAUUAGAUUUUGUGCAUUCCCUAAACUGACUGCAUCAAUCUCUUACAUAGGUCCGUCCUGAUUUUAGUUGAUUGCUGUCAUUUGGUGACCAUGGGGCAAUUUCAUGUUCUUUUAAAACAUUAUCCACUUGCAUAGUAAAAUUGUAGAACAAUCUCCCUGUUGUAUUCAAUUCAGACCAUGAGAUAUGACCACUGCCACGUUUUUAUCUAUAUGUACUUGGUAAAUGGCACUGGUGCCAUAUGUUCAGUUGAAUUGAGUCUGUGUCUGAUCCUAGCGGGAAAAGGAGGGAAACGGAUACUCAAUUUAAAGUGAGUAAACAGAAUUCCAUACUCGAUCUCAUAGAUCCCUAUAGAAUUCUGUGGAAAGCCGUAUUCGAUGAAAGUCGUAUGUACGGCUUGGAGGGAGAUCUUUCCUAUCUUUCGAGAUCCACCCUACAAUAUGGGGUCAAAAAGCCAAAAAAAUAAGUGAUUUUAGCCCUUAUAAAAAGAAAA